UAAAAGAGACCGCAGUAUAUAUUUCACAUUCAUUCACUAAACUUGUAAAGGUAAAUAAAGCAUACCAAUGGACAAGCGUGUUGCAUUAUUUGUGAUUGUUCUCAUCGCAUCAGUAUUCAUGGAGUGUUGGGCACAGUUUGCGGAGAAGGGUGAAAUAUGCGGUGGAUAUGCGGGGACCCCGUGCAAUAAGGGACUGAGUUGUGAUUAUUCAUUGGGCACAGCUGGGCGUUGUAGAAGUGGUGGAUUCUUGGCGAUUUUCCACGCUCCCAGAGACGACCGAUGGUGAAUAAUCUAUAAAGAAACGGAUGAAUGAUGUGAUAUGUCCAAAUCGAUGUACAUUCAUUAUCAAAAAAAUAUUGUAUUGGCUAUCAUAUAACAAUUUGAUACGGUUUUAAUUAUUAAAAUUGUUUGUUUCAA